GUGGAGGGAACUUUCCCAGGCCCCGAGGCGGAUCGGGUAUUGAGUCCAUGGAGCGAGCUGAGAGCUAGAGUACAGAACCUGCUAAGGCCAUCAAACCUAUCGAUCGGAAGUCAGUCCAUCAGAUUUGCUCUGGGCCGGUGGUACUGAGUCUAAGCACUGCGGUGAAGGAGUUAGUAGAAAACAGUCUGGAUGCUGGUGCCACCAAUAUUGAUCUAAAGCUUAAGGACUAUGGAGUGGAUCUCAUUGAAGUUUCAGACAAUGGAUGUGGGGUAGAAGAAGAAAACUUUGAAGGCUUAACGAUGUCACCAUUUCUACCUGCCACGCAUCGGCGAAGGUUGGGACUCGACUGGUGUUUGAUCACGAUGGGAAAAUCAUCCAGAAAACCCCCUACCCCCACCCCAGAGGGACCACAGUCAGCGUGAAGCAGUUAUUUUCUACACUACCUGUGCACCAUAAGGAAUUUCAAAGGAAUAUUAAGAAGACGUGCCUGUUUCCCCUUCGCCUUCUGCCGUGAUUGUCAGUUUCCUGAGGCCUCCCCAGCCAUGCUUCCUGUACAGCCUGCAGAACUGUACCAUAAAAGUGACCUUCAAAGAUGAGGCUGAAGCAAUUUAUAGUCUCACCAGGUGUAUGAGAGUACUUACUUCUUCACUAAUUUUUUAUCUAUAUUUAAGAGCUGUGUGGAUUUCAUUAAAGGAUUUGUUUCUUUUCCUUAUUUUUCUAUUUUCUUAUUUUCUAUUGGCUUAUAGGUCUUUAUUUAAUGAUUGGCAGUAGUAUUUUCAGUAUGUUUAGGACAUUUUAGUACCAACUUUAAACAUUUUUUAAAAGUGUACCAACUUUAUUCACUUUAUUAACUUUAAUUUCUUUUAAAAUUGUAUUUAAAAAGUCUUUUUUUUUUUCAGAAUUAUUCAAUCUCAAAACACACCAUUAUGUAAGUGGGAAAAAUUCAAGGAAAGAAUAGGAGGCUGGAUAAAUAUUUUAUAAAGUCUAAAGGCAAAGAACAAGGUGAUAUGGUUUGGCUGGGUCCCCACCCAAAUCUCAUCUUGAAUUCCCACAUGUUGUGGGGGGACCUGGUAGGAGGUAACUGAAUCAUGGGGCAAGUGUUUCCCAUGCUGUUCUCAUGAUAGUGAAUAAGUCUCACGAGAGCUGAUGGCUUCAAAAAGUGGGGUUCCCCUGCACAAGUUCUCUCAUUUUUUUUGCCUGCCACCAUCCAUGUAAGAUGUGACUUGCUCCUCCUUGCCUUCCAUCAUGAUUGCGAGGCUUCUCCAGCCAUGUGGAACUGUAAGUCCCAUUAAACCUCUUUGUUUUGUGAA
ensembl:lncRNA PMS2P4 PMS1 homolog 2, mismatch repair system component pseudogene 4